rnacentral:rRNA from 1 species
AACGAACGCUGGCGGCAUGCCUAACACAUGCAAGUCGAACGAAGGCUUCGGCCUUAGUGGCGCACGGGUGCGUAACGCGUGGGAAUCUGCCCUUGGGUUCGGAAUAACUCAGAGAAAUUUGAGCUAAUACCGGAUGAUGACGUAAGUCCAAAGAUUUAUCGCCCAAGGAUGAGCCCGCGUAAGAUUAGCUAGUUGGUGGGGUAAAGGCCUACCAAGGCGACGAUCUUUAGCUGGUCUGAGAGGAUGAUCAGCCACACUGGGACUGAGACACGGCCCAGACUCCUACGGGAGGCAGCAGUGGGGAAUAUUGGACAAUGGGCGAAAGCCUGAUCCAGCAAUGCCGCGUGAGUGAUGAAGGCCUUAGGGUUGUAAAGCUCUUUUACCAGGGAUGAUAAUGACAGUACCUGGAGAAUAAGCUCCGGCCAACUCCGUG